rnacentral:rRNA from 1 species
UACGAAGGGGGCUAGCGUUGCUCGGAAUCACUGGGCGUAAAGCGCACGUAGGCGGCUUUCUAAGUCAGGGGUGAAAUCCUGGAGCUCAACUCCAGAACUGCCUUUGAUACUGGAGAGCUUGAGUCCGGAAGAGGUGAGUGGAACUCCGAGUGUAGAGGUGAAAUUCGUAGAUAUUCGCAAGAACACCAGUGGCGAAGGCGGCUGACUGGUCCGGUUCUGACGCUGAGGCGCGAAAGCGUGGGGAGCAAACAGG